UUUGAUGACGACCGGCGCACGGGUGCGGAACGCGUAUGGAACCUGCCCCUGUCAGGGGAAUAGCCCAGGGAAACUUGGAUUAAUGCCCCAUGGUAUCGUUAUAUCGCAUGAUAUUACGAUUAAAGAUUUAUCGGACAGGGAUGGCCAUGCGUACCAUUAGUUAGUUGGUGAGGUAACGGCUUACCAAGGCAGCGAUGGUUAGGGGCCCUGAGAGGGGGAUCCCCCACACUGGUACUGAGACACGGACCAGACUCCUACGGGAGGCAGCAGUGAGGAAUAUUGGACAAUGGGCGGGAGCCUGAUCCAGCCAUGCCGCGUGCAGGAUGACGGCCCUAUGGGUUGUAAACUGCUUUUAUACGGGAAGAAACGCACCUACGUGUAGGUGUCUGACGGUACCGUAAGAAUAAGGACCGGCUAACUCCGUGCCAGCAGCCGCGGUAAUACGGAGGGUCCGAGCGUUAUCCGGAAUCAUUGGGUUUAAAGGGUCCGUAGGCGGGCCUGUAAGUCAGGGGUGAAAGUUUGUGGCUCAACCAUAAAAUUGCCUUUGAUACUGCAGGUCUUGAGUCAUGGUGGGGUUGCCGGAACAUGUGGUGUAGCGGUGAAAUGCAUAGAUAUCACAUAGAACACCGAUCGCGAAGGCAGGUGACCAACCAUGUACUGACGCUGAUGGACGAAAGCGUGGGUAGCGAACGGGAUUAGAUACCCCGGUAGUCCACGCCGUAAACGAUGGAUACUAGCUGUGGGGACUUCG
rnacentral:rRNA from 1 species